rnacentral:lncRNA from 1 species
GUUUUGAUUGGCUGUCGCUUCGCCACGUAUCACAUAAAGGUUUGUAAUAUUCUGUACAUUUGGAAAAUAUUGUGUUGGACAUAAACUGUUGGUUGAAUCUGCUGUUCUUCUCUAUUCCAGGCAAGGAUAAAAGACAGAAAAUGGUUAUAAAGUACCUUACAAUACUGUGCGAAUUGUGCGUUUUGAUGGUUUCGUCAUCAAUAGUUAAACGUUCUUAUCAGGAUUUCCCAUUACAAAUGUGCCCACAGAGUGCUGUUUG